rnacentral:rRNA from 1 species
CUAUCACGACGCCCAAAGUCGUGGCUUGGGUUUUGCCAGCUGGCGUGAUCUCCUCUAUGAGUAAUCAUGUGAGGUGCCAGAUCUAUGGCGUUUCCCUAAUGUAUCCGGAUGCACCCUUGUCUUGGCAGAAAGCCGUGGUGAGGUGCAGUGGCGGAAUCGUGGUUUAAUAAUCGGGUUGGUACUCAGUUGUCAGUGUGUUUGGCGAUCCCCUAGUCGGCACACUUAUGAUUUCUGGGAUAAUUCCAUACCAGGCACGUUCCGUCACUGUCACUUUGUCAUUGGUUUGAUGCUGAACUUGGUCAUGUGUCUGAUGCUAUUUUCAUAUAGCGACGGUACCCUUCGUGGUCUGUCUUCCUGACCUCGGUUCAGACGUGAUUACCCGCUGAACUUAAGCAUAUC